CCUACGGGAGGCAGCAGUGGGGAAUAUUGGACAAUGGGGGCAACCCUGAUCCAGCCAUGCCGCGUGUGUGAAGAAGGCCCUCGGGUUGUAAAGCACUUUCAGUGAGGAAGAACGCCUGGUGGUUAAUACCCAUCAGGAAAGACAUCACUCACAGAAGAAGCACCGGCUAACUCCGUGCCAGCAGCCGCGGUAAUACGGAGGGUGUGAGCGUUAAUCGGAAUUACUGGGCGUAAAGCGCGCGUAGGUGGCUUGAUAAGCCGGUUGUGAAAGCCCCGGGCUCAACCUGGGAACGGCAUCCGGAACUGUCAAGCUAGAGUGCAGGAGAGGAAGGUAGAAUUCCCGGUGUAGCGGUGAAAUGCGUAGAGAUCGGGAGGAAUACCAGUGGCGAAGGCGGCCUUCUGGACUGACACUGACACUGAGGUGCGAAAGCGUGGGUAGCAAACAGGAUUAGAUACCCGAGUAGUC
rnacentral:rRNA from 1 species